UCUGCCAUAGCUCAGUUGGUAGUAGCGCAUGACUGUUAAUCAUGAUGUCGUAGGUUCGAGUCCUACUGGCGGAG
rnacentral:tRNA from 2 species